UACGGAGGGUGCGAGCGUUGUCCGGAAUUACUGGGUGUAAAGCGCGUGUAGGCGGGAGGCCAAGUCUGUGGUGAAAUCGCUCGGCUUAACUGGGCGGGGUCCAUGGAAACUGGUCACCUGGAGGUCGGUAGAGGCAAGUGGAAUUCCCGGUGUAGUGGUGAAAUGCGUAGAGAUCGGGAGGAACACCAGUGGCGAAGGCGGCUUGCUGGGCCGGACCUGACGCUGAGACGCGAAGGCGUGGGGAGCGAACGGG
rnacentral:rRNA from 1 species